CACUGCGUCUGGAAAGGAUGUGCCGAGUACAAACGACAGCAGAAGAGAACAUUGGGUUAAUAAAUAGGUAAAUAAAUAACAAUUCCUGCUCUCAGGCAUCAUCCUGCAUGAGCUCACAGAGCCUCUAUUGCUAGCCAGUGACAGAUUGUUCAAUGAAGCUGUUCAUUGCGCUUGCAGCAAACAUAAAUGAAAUCAAAUUAUGGUAUUCUUCAUUUUUCUAGGACACUUCGAAAGCACCCGUGGCGCCUCUUUGGCCAUGCAGCUUUCACUGAGACCAUAUAGGAGAGACAAAAUGAUGAAACAAAAGAAUCAUUUUAUUUAGAGGCUCGAAAUAGAAGCUUGAUAGUCUUCUGGAAGUCUUCUUGUAUUUAAAGAGUCAGUGGGCAAUGGUUUUUUUCCGAUGCAACUCUGAACUGUCAGAAACAGCAGUCUAGCAUCCUCCCCGCUGAUAAUGUGAUGCCACAUAUAAUGAAAGUAAACAUAAUGAAAGUGCACCUGUUCAAAUUAACCAAAAUUUACAAGGUCACACUGAUACACUGUAGACACCACAUGACGCAUUUAAAGAGAUGCUAUCUACAAUAAACGGGGUAUGGAAGUGCAUUGCAUUCACACAAGAAAAAGAAAGUUAGACACCUUAUCUCAUAAUCAUGAGUUACUAUCUCAUAAUUACAAGACAAGAUUUCAUAAUCCCGAGAAAAGGUCUUGUUAUUAAGAGAUCAGGAUCUUGUAAUUGUGAAAAGUUAAGGUAGCCUAGUAACGUCACUAACCUAGGCUACAGGAUAAGACAAUAGGCAAUGAUGGCGCUAUCACAUUUAAUCUGCUUUUAUUUCCUUCUCGGUAUGAGACAUUGGGAAAUAUUAAUGUUACUUAAUGUGGAUGUGUUAAUAUUAGUAUGUCAACGUUAUACAGGCAUCUCAAGUCAUUAGGAUUGUUCAGGCGAAAAGCCCAGUCUAACCUGCUGGAAGUCGCUCUCUUCCUACAGGAGCAGUUAAACCAAUAAGGGUUCCUUCAUGGAUAUAAAUUCAAGCAUUUGAAAUACAUCCAAGCUGGCUUAGUGGUGUCACAAAAUCCUACAUCCUCAAGGAGUACAGCUGAGACUAUGGAGUCGUCUAAGACAAUGUCUAUACAGAAACCCAGGUCCUAACUUCUUGUGGCAUGUCAAUUCAUACGACAAACUAAAACCAUAUAUAUAUUUAUUAAUGGUACCGUUGACGGAUUUGCACGUAUGGUCACAUGGCUACAUGCGUAUCCACAAAUAGCAAUCCCAGGGUUAUUGCUGGUUAGUUCAUUGAUGAAGUGGAAAACAGGAGCACACCAUGUAACCAUGAAGACAAGUUUUCUGAGACAUGCUACGUUACCAGCUCAAGUAAUUGGAUUGAACAAUGGUGGGGAUUUUUAAGAAAACACUAUGAACAAUACUGGAUCAAUACAAGGUUUAAAGGACCUGGACCAUUGCUCAGGGGACUUCCUUGACAAAAAUCUAAUACAGUUCACAUGUCUGGAAUAAACUGAGUAAAACAAUACUGUUCGUUGUUGUACACUGCAGUAGUUGUUGGAUGCUGUAAUACUUUCUCCUAUCCAUGCUGUUCAUAUUUCUGACACAAUUCCAAUAGGAAGCUGCGGGAAGUUGCUCAUCUGUUGAACUGCCACAGAAUUCGCCUCAGCAGGAAUGCAGUUUCUCCAAGUGGACUACCACUAAUGAUGUACAGCCUUCCACCCCUGUUUGGCACUGCACGCUACCUCAAGACAGUAUUCCAUCAACAAAUACAAGCUUGUCGAGAGGAAUGCCUGCCAAGAGGCCCGCAUCCAUGUGAUGAGAGUGUUUUUGACAUUUGUUGCCUAGUAAUGUCAGAAAACAAUCUACACCCACCUACUACUCCAGAGGAAGGAAGAAGAGCCUACAUCCAUACUCAGCUUUAAUAGCUGUUCCCAGAAAGACAGCUGUGAACCGCACACAGAGAGCCAACUUUCAGAUGUGCCAGACUGCAGGACACACUAGAAAGCGAUUAUUAAUAUUUAAUUGUCCGGAAUUGUCCUGAAAUCUCAUAAUUGCAAUAGCAUUGUUCAUUUUUAUCUGAUCAAUGAAGAAACAUAUGUCUAAACAUAUGUCUAAAUGAUUCGUACAGUUUCUUGAAUGAAUGGUUCUGUAAUCAACGUGUUUUAGCUGGUAAAUGGCAAAGUUACCUGUAUUACAUCUGUUCUACAUGUGUUAUCAUCAUAUUACGAACUGUAUUAAAUGUCAUUAGGCAGAU